AUUGAACGCUGGCGGAAUGCUUUACACAUGCAAGUCGAGCGGCAGCGCGGGGCAACCUGGCGGCGAGCGGCGAACGGGUGAGUAACAUAUCGGAACGUACCCCGUCGUGGGGGAUAACUACCCGAAAGGGUGGCUAAUACCGCAUACGACCUGAGGGUGAAAGGGGGGGAUCGCAAGACCUCUCGCGAUGGGAGCGGCGGAUAUCGGAUUAGCUUGUUGGUGAGGUAAAGGCUCACCAAGGCGACGAUCCGUAGCUGGUCCGAGAGGACGACCAGCCACACUGGAACUGAGACACGGUCCAGACUCCUACGGGAGGCAGCAGUGGGGAAUUUUGGACAAUGGGGGCAACCCUGAUCCAGCCAUUCCGCGUGAGUGAAGAAGGCCUUCGGGUUGUAAAGCUCUUUCGGCAGGAACGAAACGGCAGGCUCUAACAUAGCCUGUCAAUGACGGUACCUGAAGAAGAAGCACCGGCUAACUACGUGCCAGCCGCCGCCGUAACAC
rnacentral:rRNA from 1 species